CUUUGCUAUCCCCCAGCUUCUGAAAAACAAGACAUGACUUAAAAACAGAGCUACUCUUAACCAAUGAAAAUACAAUUUUGCUCAUGCUUUCUUUGAAAGGAUGCUUUGAACUUGCAGGACAAGUAUUAUCCUAAUCUGUUGAAACCAAAUAGAAAAGAAUAGCUUUAAAAUAAAUGUUUUGAGAUUUUGAUAGAUGGGUGAAAAAUGUUAGGAAAUCUAGACAGUCAAGCUUUCUG